GAUGAACGCUAGCGGCAGGCUUAAUACAUGCAAGACGAACGGUAACUGGUGUAGCAAUACAUUAGCAAGAGUGUCGUACGGGUGCGUAACACGUAUGCAACCUACCUUGUACAGGAGGAUAGCUCGGGGAAACUCGAAUUAACCCUCCAUGAGAUCACAGUGUGGCAUCACAUAGUGAUUAAAACUCAGGUGGUACAAGAUGGGCAUGCGUCGAUUAGUUAGUUGGC
rnacentral:rRNA from 1 species